rnacentral:rRNA from 1 species
UACAGAGGUCCCAAGCGUUGUUCGGAUUCACUGGGCGUAAAGGGUGCGUAGGUGGCGGGGUAAGUCGGAUGUGAAAGCUCGGAGCUCAACUCCGAAAUGGCAUUGGAAACUACCUUGCUCGAGGGUUGGAGGGGGGACUGGAAUGCUUGGUGUAGCAGUGAAAUGCGUAGAUAUCAAGCGGAACACCAGUGGCGAAGGCGAGUCCCUGGACCAAUACUGACGCUCAUGUGCGAAAGCGUGGGGAGCAAACAGG